UGAGAGUGAUGGUCACAGUCCGGUUGAGAGUGGUGGUCGCAGUCCGGUUGAGAGUGGUGGUCGCAAGGUGGUUGAGAGUGGUAGUCACAGUCUGGUUGAGGUUCUGGU